CCUCCUUAAGAUGAUUUAUAGCAGCUAACUCAAUGUUGUAGCAAGAUCUUCUUCCAUAUUUGUCGUCUACAUGCUGACAGACUCCACCAUCCACGGUCAUGUGCUGUGAUGUUGAAGUGACAGUAGCAGGAAAAAGGCAGGAAAACCAAACAGUAAUCAACACUAACAAUGGAAUUGGCGAAGGUGAGGUCCGGAGAGGAAGAAAGGUGGAUCGAAAUGGGUAGAGACGAUCUGUCUCAUUUACUAUCAUGAGAUUCCCGGAAGGACAGCAACAGGAGCCCUCCCACUUGGGCCUCACUGUCACUCUCCACAGCGGAAGACUGCAUACACUUGCAGGGGCCUGGUGAUGUGUGGAGGUGAGCUCAGGGUGGUGGUGCCUUUGUUCCGGACUCCAACCAUGCUCGUUGACUCUGGAUCACCUCUUUGGUGCAUUGGUGGUUGCCUCUCUGCCAUCCCACUAUAACAUCACCACCUCCUCCUUCUCGCUCUCCAGAAACCCUUGCUACCCCUGAGGUGCAGCACUCCUUUCCUUGCCACCAAUUACUGUUCCAUGGCCUCCUCUUCCUUCUUCCACUCUCUUGUUUGCCUUCUUGGAGUUCAUUACCUCUAGAAGUAGCUACUAAUCCCCGAAACUCCCGUUAAGUUUUCUUGGAUUGCGCUGCUUUGGUAGUUUUGUUAAGAUUCUGUUCCUUUUCAAGUCAAUAUGAUUUGCUUUUUCCAGAUGUUGAUUGCUUGUGCCUAUUUAAUUCCUUUCUCACAGCUUUCAUGUUUGGAUUAGCUGAGCUUGCGCUACUGUCUUCUAUUUUUCCCACUAGUUAAUGCAUGAGCAAAGCCUAGCCUUAAAAUGGUUGCCUCUGAUGCCCGCACUUUCCACAAAGAUUGAUUCACUGACAUAGUUAUUGAGAUCAAAUAGGGGUUGCAAGGGUUGUAGAUUGCACAAGAAUGGCGUCCAUAUGGCAGUUGUUCGCUGUCAUUUCUUGCAUUUUUGUUCUUGGCAUGGCGCUGAGCGACCACGAUGUUGAUCUGCUCCUCGAGUUCAAGAACAAUCUCAUCGAUGUAGAUAACCGCCUUUCAGAUUGGAACUCAUCUGAUCCGACUCCUUGCGACUGGAAUGGAAUCAUUUGUCGCGAUUCUGAGGUAACAUCCAUUAAUCUUUACAAAUUGGGGCUCCAAGGUUCCUUGUCUGCCAGCAUUUGCCAACUCCAUUACCUAACCAGCUUUAAUGUGUCGUCAAACAUGAUAUCUGGGCCCAUACCUAAAGAAUUUGCCCAAUGUAGAAGCUUAGAGGUUCUUGAUCUCAGUACUAAUACCUUACAUGGAGAGAUCCCCCAGGAGCUUUGUGCAUUGUCUUCCCUUAGACAACUUUUCUUGAGUGAGAACUGCCUGUACGGUGAGAUCUCGUCAAGCAUUGGUAACUUGACGAUGCUUGAGGAGCUUGUUAUUUAUAGUAACAACCUCACCGGCAUGAUUCCUCCAUCGAUUAAAAUGCUGAAGAGUCUUCGGAUCAUUCGAGCUGGUCGGAAUGACUUGACUGGUCCAGUGCCAGUGGAUAUUUGUGAAUGCAGUAGCUUAGAGGUCUUAGCUUUUGCCCAAAAUAAGUUGGAAGGGAUUCUUCCUAAGGAGCUUGAAAGGUUGAAGAAUCUUACGACUCUGGUUCUUUGGCAAAACCAGCUGUCUGGUGAAAUCCCCCCUGAGCUAGGCAACUGCAGUAAUCUAGAAAUGAUUGCUCUAAACAACAAUGGUUUCACCGGAGAUGUUCCAAAGGAACUUGGCAAACUGUCUUUGCUGAAAAAGCUGUAUAUUUAUACAAAUAGGCUGGAUGGAACAAUCCCUAAGGAUCUAGGAAAUUGCCAGAGUGCAAUCGAGAUUGAUCUUUCUGAGAACCGAUUGACUGGAGUUAUUCCUAAAGAGCUUGGUCGGAUACAGACUCUUCGCUUGCUCUACCUGUUUGAGAACCUCCUGCAGGGCAGCAUUCCUAGGGAGCUUGGCCAGUUGAGUCUUCUAAGGAAGAUAGAUUUGUCAAUCAAUAAUUUGACAGGAACUAUUCCUCUAGAAUUUCAGAACCUCACUUCGUUGGAGAACUUUCUGCUCUUUGAUAACAACCUUGAAGGAUUUAUUCCUCCGCUGUUAGGGACCAAUAGUAAUCUCUCCGUUCUUGAUUUAUCAGACAACAAACUCACUGGCAGCAUACCAUGCCAACUCUGUAAAUACCAGAAGUUGAUCAUUUUGAGCCUUGGGGCAAAUAGGUUGUUUGGAAACAUUCCUCAUGGGGUCAAAACAUGCAUGUCGCUCAUACAGCUAAGAUUGGGAGGGAAUCUGCUCACUGGAAGCCUUCCGGUGGAAUUAUCUGGGCUCCUGAAUCUAACUUCUUUAGAGAUGAAUCAAAACCGGUUUUCUGGACCCAUCACUCCAGAAAUCGGCAAGCUGAAGAGCCUCGAAAGACUCCUCCUGUCUGAUAAUUAUUUCAUGGGUCAGAUUACUCCUGAAAUUGGACAGCUAACAUCUCUUGUUAGCUUCAAUAUUUCCUCAAAUCAGCUUUCAGGUGGUAUACCUCAUGAGCUGGCGAAUUGUAAGAAGCUCCAAAGGCUUGAUCUUAGCAGAAAUCAUUUCAGUGGAACUAUCCCAGAAGAGAUUGGUAAUCUAGUCAAUUUGGAGCUACUUUUGCUCUCUGAUAACCAUCUUAAUGGAACAAUCCCAGAUGGUCUUGGGGGCCUUUAUCGCCUCACUGAGCUGCAAAUGGGUGGGAACAAUUUGUCUGGUUGCAUACCUGGUGAGCUGGGGCAUCUUACUGCACUGCAAAUUGCUCUCAAUCUCAGUUACAAUGCCCUCUCAGGAGAGAUACCAGCCGAUCUUGGGAACUUGCAAAUGUUGGAGACAUUGUACUUGAACAACAACCAGCUCGAUGGUGAAGUACCUCCUUCAUUUAGUAAGCUUUCCAGCCUUCUAGUCUGCAAUCUUUCUUACAAUUACCUCUUUGGUUCCUUGCCUGGUACUCCAAUAUUUAGAAGGAUGGAUGAUAGUAACUUCUUCGGAAAUUAUGAUCUGUGUGGUACUGAUACAAAGGCAUGCCAGCAUACGCCUGUGCCAUUGAACAUUGCAGAAUCAGGUUGGGCAAAGAGAACGUCCAAGGAGAAAAUAGUUAGCAUCACUGCCGUGGUUGUGGGGUUGGUUUCUCUGGCUCUCACUAUAGGGUUGUGUUGGUCUCUGAAGUACCGCAUGCCUGUUCUCGUGAAAAGCGAAGAUCAUAAGCAGGGUGUUUCUGAUCUCUAUUACCUCCCAAAGGAAAGUAUAACAUAUCAAGAACUUCUCACAGCUACUGACAAUUUCUCAGACAGUGCUGUAAUUGGAAGAGGUGCUUGUGGCACAGUUUACAAGGCCAUAAUGUCCGAUGGGGGGAUAAUUGCAGUUAAGAAGCUGAAAUCUCAUGCAGAGUGUUCUAGCAUUGACAGUAGCUUUCGAGCUGAGAUAUCUACCCUUGGAAAUAUUAGGCACCGUAACAUUGUCAAGCUCUAUGGUUUCUGCUAUCAUCAAGACUCAAAUCUUAUCCUCUAUGAAUAUAUGGCAAACGGCAGUCUUGGUGAACGGCUUCAUGGUAACAACGAAACAUGUUUACUUGAUUGGAAUACUCGCUACAGGAUUGCUCUUGGAGCAGCUGAAGGCUUGCGUUAUCUCCACUGCGACUGCAAACCUCAAAUUAUCCACCGAGAUAUAAAAUCAAAUAAUAUCCUUUUGGAUGAGGCGAUGGAUGCUCAUGUAGGAGAUUUUGGCUUGGCAAAGUUAAUAGACAUUUCACACUCCAAAACCAUGUCUGCAGUUGCUGGUUCUUAUGGGUACAUUGCUCCAGAGUAUGCUUUCACAAUGAAAGUUACAGAAAAGUGCGACAUCUAUAGUUUUGGAGUUGUUCUUUUGGAAUUGAUCACUGGGCAAUCUCCCAUUCAGCCGCUAGACCAAGGAGGGGAUCUGGUCAAUUGGGUGAGGAGAUCCAUCCAAAAUAGCAUGCCAGCAUCUAAUGUGUUUGAUUCCCGAUUGGAUCUUAGCUCAAAGGGCACAAUCGAAGAGAUGUGUUUGGUACUAAAAAUUGCACUGUUCUGCACCAACAACUUGCCAAUUGACAGGCCAACUAUGAGAGAAGUCAUAUCUAUGUUAAUCGAUGUAAGGGGAUCGAUAAGCAUUUCUCCCUCGUUUCCAUCAUCAGAAACUCCUUUGGAUGAAAAUGAAUCUUUGAAAGGACACAGUGAAUCAUGAGCAAUAUUAAGUGGCAGAUAAGGUCUUCUCUCUUUUCUUUCUAUGGGUAAUACAGGCAAAUGUUGAAUGCUAUAGCGGUCGCAACCUACAUGUGUAGGAGAAGAAUCUCUUCCAAUAAAUGUGUCCCAAGUCUUUCUCUGGGGAACCCCUCCGGAAGUAUUAUGUUGCUCGAAACUUAGACGCCGAGAAUUACUGGACAGAAGACCCCUCAUAUUAGAUGAAGAGAUACCGACGUAAAGUUUGUCAAAGCAAUUAAUUGAUCAACGUAGCAGGCCAUUCCAUUGCCUAACACUAUAUUUCCUGCCUUUGAACUCUGGAGAAAGUCCUCUGAUGCUCUAUGUUUAUGUAAUUGUAUGAGAAAUAAGAGUUUGUAGUGCAAUUGGAUGUUACAGAGAAAAUGGUGACAUUGGUAUCAGUUGGCCUUUAACUAUUACUGUGAUGAAGAAACAUAUAUGAUUGAUGUGAAAUUUUGCACUUAGUCUGAAGGCCAUAUGUGUUUGAGAUGUUUUUGGGAAAUGAUCCGAUACUUGGAUCGGUGCGGGGGGUCAAUUUUUAUACUUGAUCGGCCGAGAGGA